UGGGCGACGCACACUGAUGAUCAACCUGGAGGUGAACGAACUCGACGGAUCUAUCAGACCUGGAGUGCAGCUGGGCGACAACAUCUCCUGCAUCGGGGACAGCAACAAGGUCUCCCAGGCAUGGAAUACCGGAGCCUUCGGGAUCACAGCGAGGCCGUCCCCAAUGCUGCCGCACGUUCCCUGCUGCCAUCGAUGCUCCCUGCCCUCACCCCGGACUCCGCUGCUCCCUACGCCCGCCUCUCCGCUCCGGCCUGGGAGACCUGGUGCUCCAGAUCCGGUGUCUGCGAGAUGGGGAUCAGGUGUCUCCAGUCAGGAAACCUAGGACUCAGGUGACCUGGGACCGAGGAGAGCAGGGACCUGGGGCUCUGGAUGGGGCGGGGAAGGAAGCGGAUUCGCUCGGUUGAGGCUUCGCGGGAAGAUCGCUGGGCUGGGUUGGGGCGCUCGACGAGAUCUGGAAGAGGACGACGCUCGGGGCGGAGGUGGAAGACACCCGGGGUGAUCGAGUCAAAUUUAGGGGUAGCGAUGUCAUUUUGCAUGUUUUCGCCUGGUCAGAACUUUUUCUU